UUCUAAACAGGAGUUCAGAUCUUACUUCCUGUCUUAGCCACAGAGUCUGCAAGGGUGAACCCACUGGGGCUGGUUCUGGGAGUAGAGGAAAGUUCCAGAGAGAAGUGUCUCUGGGUU
rfam:Tupaia chinensis contig10504, whole genome shotgun sequence.